CGCCCAGCAACUCCUAUCUCUACCUCCUCGUGGUACCUACCGGAGUACGAGAAACCUUAGGGAAGAUCGGGUAAUCAAUCCCGGUGGAACCUCUGGUCGUAUGCCGACAGGGAAGG
rnacentral:ribozyme from 1 species